GUUUAAAUAAUUUAAAAUAAAAAAUAUUGAUUUUGUAAAUCAAAUUUGGUUUUCCUUUAAAUA
rnacentral:tRNA from 1 species